rnacentral:rRNA from 1 species
UGAACGCUGGCGGCGUGCCUAACACAUGCAAGUCGAACGAAGCACCUUACCUGAUUCUUCGGAUGAAGGUCUGGUGACUGAGUGGCGGACGGGUGAGUAACGCGUGGGUAACCUGCCCUGUACAGGGGGAUAACAGUUGGAAACGGCUGCUAAUACCGCAUAAGCGCACGAGAGGACAUCCUCUUGUGUGAAAAACUCCGGUGGUACAGGAUGGGCCCGCGUCUGAUUAGCUGGUUGGCAGGGUAACGGCCUACCAAGGCGACGAUCAGUAGCCGGUCUGAGAGGAUGAACGGCCACAUUGGAACUGAGACACGGCCCAGACUCCUACGGGAGGCAGCAGUGGGGAAUAUUGCACAAUGGGGGAAACCCUGAUGCAGCGACGCCGCGUGAAGGAAGAAGUAUCUCGGUAUGUAAACUUCUAUCAGCAGGGAAGAUAAUGACGGUACCUGACUAAGAAGCCCCGGCUAACUACGUGCCAGCAGCCGCGGUAAUACGUAGGGGGCAAGCGUUGUCCGGAAUUACUGGGUGUAAAGGGAGCGUAGGCGGGAUCGCAAGUCACGAUGUGAAAACUAUGGGCUUAACCCAUAAACUGCAUUUGAAACUGUGGUUCUUGAGUGAAGUAGAGGUAAGCGGAAUUCCUAGUGUAGCGGUGAAAUGCGUAGAUAUUAGGAGGAACAUCAGUGGCGA